GGGCGAGUGGUGAAACUGGCAGACACGUAGCGUUCAGAGCGCUAUGGGCGCAAGCCCGUGGGAGUUCAAAUCUCCCCCCGCCCA
rnacentral:tRNA from 8 species